rnacentral:rRNA from 1 species
CCUACGGGUGGCAGCAGUGAGGAAUAUUGGUCAAUGGGCGCUAGCCUGAACCAGCCAAGUAGCGUGAAGGAUGACUGCCCUAUGGGUUGUAAACUUCUUUUAUAUGGGAAUAAAGUGCAGUAUGUAUACUGCUUUGCAUGUACCUUAUGAAUAAGGAUCGGCUAACUCCGUGCCAGCAGCCGCGGUAAUACGUAGGGGGCGAGCUUUAUCCGGAUUUACUGGGUGUAAAGGGAGCGUAGCAGGCGUCGCAAGUCUGAAGUGAAAGCCCGUGGCUCAACCGCGGAACCGCUUUGGAAACUGCGUGGCUGGAGUGCUGGAGAGGUAAGCGGAAUUCCUGGUGUAGCGGUGAAAUGCGUAGAUAUCAGGAGGAACACCGGUGGCGAAGGCGGCUUACUGGACAGUGACUGACGUUGAGGCUCGAAAGCGUGGGGAGCGAACAGGAUUAGAUACCCCUGUAGUC